AGAUACAGAACUCGAUCAGGUUGAGUGUCUCCCUUUUAAGGAGAAGGUCUUGGUUCAAUUCCAAGUGUUUCUA